ensembl:lncRNA
UAUUCUUAUAAUCUCCACUCUCGAGAGAGUGCGUUCAGGUGCCCCGGUAUCCAUCCAUCCAUCCAUCUUCUACCGCUUACUCCUUCUUCAGGGUCACGGGGAAACCUGGAGCCAAUCCCAGGGAGCAUUGGGUACAAGGUGGGGUACACCCUGGACAGGGUGUCAGUCCAUCGCAGGGAACAAUCACACACACACUCACACACACACACACACACACACACAUUGAUACACUACGGACACUUUAAACACGCCAAUCAGCCUGGUGCCCCGGUAUGUGAUAAUAAUUUCAAUAUUUGACAUAUUUUUGGGUGAGUCUGUGUCCGUGAUUGCUUCAGAUUCCUGUUCUCGCUGAAAGGAGUGGUACCUGAUGAGGACUUCUGCAGUUGUAUCCCAUACAUGUCAAGAUGAUGAUGACAAUGAUGAUAUAAUUUGAGGCAAUGUGUAUAACAUGCCUACAUUACUGAGGAGCUGAGAGGAUGGGGAAAGAGAGAGAGGAGAGAGGAGGCAGACAGAGAGAGAGAGAAAGAGAAUGCAGUGUGAUCUGAGCCCCACCCUUAUUCUCCUCAUCUCUCUCUCUCCUCCACCGCUCUGUUGCAUUCAGGUAUUCCCAUCACAUACGCCCACACUUAACUCGAUUUUGCAAUACCAACAUAGUGCUUACCAGCCGCCUCCACUCACCCUUUUUUCUUUCGUGUCUUCUCAGAUUCCCUUGCCCUUCCCUUGAGGGCUGUCUGGAGAUUCCACACCUCAGAGCAGUAAGACGCAUGUGGGCACUGCAGCGUGGGCUAGGCCUUUAUCAGCUCAGCCUGUCAACAUUUUCUUUGAUGUAGGGCAGAAGGGAAAAAGUGAUGGGAUAUCAGGAAAGUUAUUAAGGACAUGAAAUUCAGAUUGUGAGACAGGGAGAGAAUAAAAGUGAAGGAUCCAGAAAGCUAACUGUGGGCAGGUGGUGUUGAACAGGGACUGUCCCUUCAUCUGUUGGUGGCUGUUUCUCCCUCAUCAAUUGCCAUCAUGUUUAAUCACCACUGCAGUGGCGCAAACACAGCCAGCCGUGCCUCCUCUGUCAUCCUGGUGCGGGGGAGAGAGGAAAUCCUAUUUACUCCAGUGCAGGAGGGGCUACGGCUCAACACGCUCGUUUUUACAAGCUCAGAUAGGGGAAAUAACAGAGAAAAGAGGUGUCUCUCACUGCCUUGUGUAUAUGUCUGGUUCAG